UCCGUAGGUGAACCUGCGGAGGGAUCAUUAUAGAGUUUUUUUAAACUCCCAACCCAUGUGAACUUACCAUUGUUGCCUCGGCAGAAGCUGCUCGGUGCACCUUACCUUGGAAAGGCCUACCCUGUAGCGCCUUACCCUGGAACGGCUUACCCUGUAGCGGCUGCCGGCGGACUACCAAACUCUUGUUAUUUUAUUGUAAUCUGAGCGUCUUAUUUUAAUAAGUCAAAACUUUCAACAACGGAUCUCUUGGUUCUGGCAUCGAUGAAGAACGCAGCGAAAUGCGAUAAGUAAUGUGAAUUGCAGAAUUCAGUGAAUCAUCGAAUCUUUGAACGCACAUUGCGCCCAUUAGUAUUCUAGUGGGCAUGCCUGUUCGAGCGUCAUUUCAACCCUUAAGCCUAGCUUAGUGUUGGGAGCCUACUGCUUUUACUAGCUGUAGCUCCUGAAAUAUAACGGCGGAUCUGCGAUAUCCUCUGAGCGUAGUAAUUUUUUAUCUCGCUUUUGACUGGAGUUGCAGCGUCUUUAGCCGCUAAACCCCCCAAUUUUUAAUGGGUUGACCUCGGAUCAGGUAGGAAUACCCGCUGAACUUAAGCAUAUCAAUAAGCGGAGGA
rnacentral:rRNA from 1 species